rnacentral:rRNA from 1 species
UACAGAGGGUGCGAGCGUUAAUCGGAAUUACUGGGCGUAAGGCGCACGUAGGCGGCUUGGUAUGUCGGGUGUGAAAUCCCCGGGCUCAACCUGGGAACUGCAUCCGAAACUGCCUUGCUAGAGUAUGGGAGAGGGAAGUGGAAUUUCCGGUGUAGCGGUGAAAUGCGUAGAUAUCGGAAGGAACGCCGGUGGCGAAAGCGGCGUGCUGGACCUUUUCUGACGCUGAUGCGCGAAAGCCAGGGGAGCGAACGGG